rnacentral:rRNA from 1 species
UACGAAGGGAGCUAGCGUUGUUCGGAAUCACUGGGCGUAAAGCGCACGAGGCGGAUUGUUAAGUCAGGGGUGAAAUCCUGGAGCUCAACUCCAGAACUGCCUUUGAUACUGGCGAUCUCGAGUCCGGGAGAGGUGAGUGGAACUGCGAGUGUAGAGGUGAAAUUCGUAGAUAUUCGCAAGAACACCAGUGGCGAAGGCGGCUCACUGGCCCGGUACUGACGCUGAGGUGCGAAAGCGUGGGGAGCAAACAGGAUUAAGAAACCC